rnacentral:rRNA from 1 species
UACGGGGGGGGCAAGCGUUGUUCGGAAUUACUGGGCGUAAAGGGCGCGUAGGCGGUUCGUCAAGUCCUGUGUGAAAUCCCCCGGCUCAACUGGGGAACUGCACAGGAAACUAGCGGGCUUGAAUUCGGGAGAGGGAUGCGGAAUUCCAGGUGUAGCGGUGAAAUGCGUAGAUAUCUGGAGGAACACCGGUGGCGAAGGCGGCAUCCUGGACCGAGAUUGACGCUGAUGCGCGAAAGCCAGGGGAGCAAACGGG